UCAAGAAACUUCCACAAUGGGCGAAAGCCUGAUGGAGCGACGUCGCGUGAUGGACGAAGUGCUUCGGCACGUAAACAUCUUUUAUGUGGGAUGAAAUUAUUGACAGUACCACAUGAAUAAGGGGCUCCUAACUCUGUGCCAGCAGGAGCGGUAAUACAGAGGCCCCAAGCGUUAUCCGGAAUCACUGGGCGUAAAGGGUGUCGAGGCGGUUGUAUUAGUCGUUCGUAAAAUCUACGAGCUUAACUUGUAGGCGGCGAACGAAACGGUACGACUUGAGGUUUGGAGAGGUGCGUGGAACUCACGGUGUAGGGGUGAAAUCCGUUGAUAUCGUGGGGAACACCAAAGGCGAAGGCAGCGCACUGGCCAAAAUCUGACGCUCACACACGAAAGCUAGGGUAGCGAAGAGGAUUAGAUACCCGGGUAGUCCCUG
rnacentral:rRNA from 1 species